UAAUUGAUUCACUAUAUCGUGAAAAUUAAAAACCUUUAUAUAUUUUCACGGUUUCAAAAUAUUAGGUUGGAAUAAACGAGUGUAAAUUCUAGUUUUACUGUUUUGAUUAUGCGCCUUUAAAUUUUCGGCAUUUACAUAUUUUCGAGAUUUACUGCAUUGAAACCAAGCGUUUGAUUGCUUGACGUCACUUCGUGAUCGACAUCGAUGAAACGUUUGCUUACGCUGUGGAUGUUAUUUUCUGUGCAAAUACAAGCGUCUAUUGAUAACGAAACGAUAAUUUGUCAACAAUGAGAAUCAGAUACUUGGCUUAAUAAUUUUCAUUUAAAAUGUCUAAUUUGGAUAUAAUUCGGAAUACAAAACGAAACUUAAAAGGUAUUGAAAACAACAACGUUCAAAAGAACAAUGUGGAUUUCAAUAGAAAGACUAUUUCCACAGACAAUCAGGAUUUCCGGUAUGACCACUGUUAUUUUGACGAUUUUUCUAUCGGUUCGUCGGUAAGCGUGACCACAUGUGACAACAGCGAUGCUAGUUGGAUAUAAAAUUGGAAGACGUGUCGUUGAACUCGACACAUUGAACGAAUCGCUUUUAGCAUGCAGUGCUUGUCAAGUGCCCAUGAAUUUACUUAACACUGUAGAAUUAUUAGAAAGCAGGGAUUUCGGACAGGCAUGUGUUUUGGACAUACAGUUUAGCAAUUGUGGUGCAGUAAAUAAUGUGGCUUCUGGACGGAAACAUGGCAGAGUUUAUGACAUGAUCACAAAGCUUGCAUUUGGGUAAAUCAAAAACUGGGUGUUUCACCUGGGACUUUCACAUCGAAACUAGCCCUUCUCCAUGACCUUCAGCACAAAAAAAGAAAGGCUAUAGCUGUUACUCGUGCAGCAAAACAGUGACGCAUAAGACUAAAAACUCGAACGGCAUUCAAAGGAAAGUGCAAGAAGUACGAGUGGGACUAACAUACAGUUCAAACAUAGAGGACCAAGACGUUGAAGUUACAACUAUACCCCCACCUAUACCCAAGCCUGGUCAAGUAGGGCUAGACACUACUGGGAAGGAAUUUGUUUUCUUUGAUUUGGAAACAAGAGGGUUAGAGCACACUUCUCACAUAAUUCAGAUAGCUGCAGUGCAUUCAACUGGUCAAUUUUCAACAUAUGUGAUGCAUGAGAAGAAGAUUUCCUUGCAAGCGUCAGAAAUAACUGGAGUGACAGUUGUUAGCGACUCUAUGCUUGUCAAGAGACAAACAGUAACAGCUGUCCCCAUCAAAUCUGCAUUGACAAGUUUUAUAACAUUCUUACAGAAAUGUUCACCAAUUAUUUUAGUUGGGCAUAAUAUAGAGUCUUUUGAUUGUAAAGUGUUGCUCCGUGCUAUCCAUACUUGUUGAAAAAUGUUUGAGUUUCAGCAAAAUAUUUGUGGCUUUUUAGAUACUUAAAAAUGUUAAAGGAAAUAUUACCAAAUAUGAAAUCAUAUAAGCGGGAACAUUUAGUUAAAGACGUCAUUGGUGAAUUAUACAUGGCACAUGGCGCUAUACAGGAUAUUUUAGCUUUACAAAAGUUAGUGAACUCUGUUCCUCUUGACCAAAAAUUGUUAACAAAUAUUCAUUCAGCUUUUACCGAGCAGUGUUAACAUACAAUGUGUUACUAAAUGUUGCUUCCAACAUCAAAUCUUUACAAACCAUAAUUGAUACAAAAUUUAUAAGUCAAGGUGUUGCAAGGAAAGUUGCAGGAAGUGGAUUUCAACUUAAACAUUUGAGUCUUGUAUCAAAAAGAAAAGGACUGAGUGGUUUGAGGAGCCCCUCUGUCAGAGGUUACAAACGGACAAAUCAGAGUAACAAAAUCAAAGAAAAUAAUAUGUACAAAAGCGAGUUAUUUGUUGCCUGACAUCUAACCAAUUGUAAUUUGCAUCUUGUAUAUAGAUAAGCUAUGAAAUCUAAUAGCUGUUACAUAAUUGUUUUUCCUUCUCGAUGACGAACAUAGUUGUGAUUCUUAUGUCAGUUGUAUUUCUCAUGUUUCACCUUAGUUGUAAGAUAUUUUAAUAAACGCUUAUAAAGCGCCUAUUUUGUGAAAUCUUAAAAAAUCUUGUCGAAAACCAUUCUGACUAAGGCUACCAAAUUUGGUAUGCAGGAACAUCUUAUAGUCAUCUACCAAGUUUGUUACUUUGGGUCAAAUUUGACCCUGACCCGCGGGUCACAAAAUUGAACAUUAUAUACGCUUGUAUCUUGCUUAUUUUGUGAAAACUUUUAAAAUAUUCUUGUCCUUAACUCUACAUCUAAGACUUAGGGUCACCACAUUUUGUAUGGAGUGAGAUAUAGUAGUCCUCUACAAAGUUUGCUCAAAUUAUGCCCCUGGGGUUAAAUUUGACCCAGCCCAGGUGGUCACAAAAUUGUACAUGUGCUUAAAUAGGGCCUAUAUUUAAGUAUCUGCACAUGCGGAGAAUAUUUGUUUCAGUCUUUUUUUCAGCAGUGGAGCGAUACAGGGCCAUCAUUGCCUCUUGUCUUUAAAUACACAUCGCACAGUUCUAAAAAUAAUUUUAAAAUACCUAAUACAUAUGUUCAAUUUACAACCAACAACAUGGGUAACAGGUGGGUGGGGUAAUUUAAGAUGUUUAUAUGAACAUCAACAUUGUUUUUUCAGUUGUUACAUCUGAAAUAUUUUCAUAACAAUAUACAUUAUAAAUAUUUCCACGUGUAUCAGAUUUCAGUUGAUAAUUUGAUUGUUAUGGAGCAGUUAUUAUAUAGAAAUGUUUUAAUUACUAUUACAAUGUUAGUCAUUGUAUUUUUGAAAUUAAGUCCAUAUUAAAAUGUCUAUAGCAAAAAAAAAUCCACGGUGACCUAUCAAUUUCUUUACUUCAUUUUAAUGCUUAGCUAGUUUCCUUUAAUUAUUCAGAACUUCAAAUGAAUAUGAAUAUUACAUCAACAGAAAUAUGUAUCUGUAUUGCAUGUUAUCUAUUUUGAACUGUGCAAUAAAAAAUUCAAAACAAACACAAAACUAUUCAUACUUAUUUCUCAUUAUUUUUUACGAUUUCCAUAAUUUUUGGUUUUAAAACUGUUCACUAUGAUAAUACACAUGUUACAGUUGCUAAUCUAAUGCAAUCUCAAUACUAUUAUGCCAUUUUAAAUGUAUUACACAAAAACAUUUUACCGUACCCCCAAAUUUAUGCCCCGCAAAAAUGACCUUUUUUCAAACGCACAUGGCAUUUAAAAACCUUCGUUAUCUCAAAAUUAUUCACGGUGACCUCUCUUUUUUAUUUUAUAUUAAUUUCAGAUACAGGUUCAUUAAUCACCAUACAAAAAAUUAUAGCAUUCCGGAUAUUUUGAAAAUUAUCACAAAACGAUCGAACAUCCUUAAGUCAAGCCCCUUUUUCAAUAUGCAACAUACCUUUUGAAGGUGUUUAACAGACCCUUUCUUACUAUUUCAAUAUUUUAUGUUUUUCAAAUGCGUGAACUUAACUUUUUCAAGAUGCAUAUUUUUUAAGAAUCAUUUAUGAACACAUGGCAUCUUGACUUGUGCACAUAGCCAAUGUUCCAUGUUUUUAGCUCACCUGUCACGAAGUGACACGGUGAGCUUAUGUGAUCGUAUGAUGUCCGUCGUGAGUGCGUCCGUGCGUGCGUGCGUCCGUCAACAAUGUGUUUGUGUAGACAGUAUAGGUCACAAUUUUCAUCCAAUCUUUAUGAAAUUUGGUCAGAAUGUUUAUCUUGAUGAAAUCUGGGUUGGGAUCGUAUUUGGGUCAUCUGGGGUCAAAAACUAGGUCACUAGGUCAAAUAAUAGAAAAACCUUGUAAAGACGAUAGAGGUCACAGUUUUCAUCCAAUCUUUAUGAAAUUUGUUCAGAAUGUUUAUCUUGAUGAAAUCUGGAUUGGGAUUGUAUUUGGGUCAUCUGGGGUCAGAAACUAGGUCACUAGGUCAAAUCAUAGAAAAACCAUGUGUAGACAAUAGAGGUCACAGUUUUCAUCAGAUCUUAAUGAAAUAUGGUCAGAAUGUUUGUCUUGUUAAAAUCUGGGUUGGGAUCCAAUUUGGGUCAUCAAGGGUUAAAAACAAGGUCACUAGGUCAAAGUUUAAAAAAACCUUGUGUAUACAGUAAAGGUCACAGUUUUCAUCCAAUCUUUAUGAAAUUUGGUCAGAAUGUUUAUCUUGAUGAAAUCUGGGUUGGGAUUGUAUUUGGGUCAUCUGGGGUCAAAAACUAGGUCACUUGGUCAAAUCAUAGAAAAACCGUGUGUAGACAAAAGAGGUCACAGUUUCCAUCAGAUCUUUAUGAAUUUUUGUCAGAAUGUUUAUCUUGAUAAAAUCUAGAUUGAGAUUGUAUUUGGGUCAUCUGGGGUCAGAAACUAGGUCACUAGGUCAAAUCAUAGAAAAACCUUGUGUAGACAAUAGAGGUCAUAGUUUUCAUCUGAUCUUUAUGAAAUAUGGUCAAAAUGUUUAUUUUGAUAAUAUCUGAUUUUGGAUCAUCUGGGGUCAAAAAUUAGGUCACUGGGCCAAUUCUAGUCAGGUGAGCGAUUCAGGGCCAUCAUGGCCCUAUUGUUAAAUGUGAAACUAUAGUAUUUGAUACAGCAAUGUUUCAGCACAAUUAGAGUUUAAUGCUUACUACAUGUUCAGCAAAUGCUCUUGCACAUAUUCAUAUAUGAUA